CCUACGGGCGGCAGCAGUGGGGAAUAUUGGACAAUGGGCGAAAGCCUGAUCCAGCCAUGCCGCGUGUGUGAAGAAGGCCUUCGGGUUGUAAAGCACUUUCAGUGGGGAAGAAAGCCUUGGGGCUAAUACCCUCGAGGAAGGACAUCACCCACAGAAGAAGCACCGGCUAACUCCGUGCCAGCAGCCGCGGUAAUACGGAGGGUGCGAGCGUUAAUCGGAAUUACUGGGCGUAAAGCGCGCGUAGGCGGUCUGAUAAGCCGGUUGUGAAAGCCCCGGGCUGAACCUGGGAACGGCAUCCGGAACUGUCAGGCUAGAGUGCAGGAGAGGAAGGUAGAAUUCCCGGUGUAGCGGUGAAAUGCGUAGAGAUCGGGAGGAAUACCAGUGGCGAAGGCGGCCUUCUGGACUGACACUGACGCUGAGGUGCGAAAGCGUGGGUAGCAAACAGGAUUAGAUACCCCAGUAGUC
rnacentral:rRNA from 1 species